UCCUUAUAGUGCACUGUGGUUCUUGUUAGAGGAAACAAAUUUCCCUUAUGAUCUUUUUUCUCUUUUGAAGAGGAAGAUGCCGUGAUAAUCUUUUGGAAACCACAAUGAAACCCAGGAAUUGGAUCUUUAAAGUUGGUUGAAGCUGUGAUUUUUUUUUUUAGAUUGAUGAUCCAACCAGGUUUCAUGAGAAGAUGCAUUGUGAAUUGAAUAUUUUCUUCAAACUGUAUUCUUGGUUCUACUUUGAGUAGCCAGUCAUCUAAACACGGCACCAUCGAUACUCC